rnacentral:rRNA from 1 species
UACGUAGGAGACGAGCGUUGUCCGGAAUUACUGGCGUAAAGCGCGUGUAGGCGGAUGAGCAAGUCUGCUGUGAAAGCUCCUGGCUUAACCGGGAGUGGUCGGUGGAAACUGCUCGUCUGGAGGACGGUAGAGGCUGGUGGAAUUCCGGUGUAGUGGUGAAAUGCGUAGAGAUCGGAGGAACACCUGUGGCGAAGGCGGCCAGCCUGGGCCGG